UGUAUAAUGGGUCAGCGACUUAUAUUCUGUAGCAAGGUUAACCGAAUAGGGGAGCCGAAGGGAAACCGAGUCUUAACUGGGCGUUAAGUUGCAGGGUAUAGACCCGAAACCCGGUGAUCUAGCCAUGGGCAGGUUGAAGGUUGGGUAACACUAACUGGAGGACCGAACCGACUAAUGUUGAAAAAUUAGCGGAUGACUUGUGGCUGGGGGUGAAAGGCCAAUCAAACCGGGAGAUAGCUGGUUCUCCCCGAAAGCUAUUUAGGUAGCGCCUCGUGAAUUCAUCUCCGGGGGUAGAGCACUGUUUCGGCAAGGGGGUCAUCCCGACUUACCAACCCGAUGCAAACUGCGAAUACCGGAGAAUGUUAUCACGGGAGACACACGGCGGGUGCUAACGUCCGUCGUGAAGAGGGAAACAACCCAGACCGCCAGCUAAGGUCCCAAAGUCAUGGUUAAGUGGGAAACGAUGUGGGAAGGCCCAGACAGCCAGGAUGUUGGCUUAGAAGCAGCCAUCAUUUAAAGAAAGCGUAAUAGCUCACUGGUCGAGUCGGCCUGCGCGGAAGAUGUAACGGGGCUAAACCAUGCACCGAAGCUGCGGCAGCGACACUAUGUGUUGUUGGGUAGGGGAGCGUUCUGUAAGCCUGUGAAGGUGUGCUGUGAGGCAUGCUGGAGGUAUCAGAAGUGCGAAUGCUGACAUAAGUAACGAUAAAGCGGGUGAAAAGCCCGCUCGCCGGAAGACCAAGGGUUCCUGUCCAACGUUAAUCGGGGCAGGGUGAGUCGACCCCUAAGGCGAGGCCGAAAGGCGUAGUCGAUGGGAAACAGGUUAAUAUUCCUGUACUUGGUGUUACUGCGAAGGGGGGACGGAGAAGGCUAUGUUGGCCGGGCGACGGUUGUCCCGGUUUAAGCGUGUAGGCUGGU
rnacentral:rRNA from 1 species